AGGGAGCUUGACUGCGAGAGCUACAACUCGAGCAGGGACGAAAGUCGGGCUUAGUGAUCCGGUGGUUCCGCAUGGAAGGGCCAUCGCUCAACGGAUAAAAGCUACCCUGGGGAUAACAGGCUUAUCUCCCCCAAGAGUCCACAUCGACGGGGAGGUUUGGCACCUCGAUGUCGGCUCAUCACAUCCUGGGGCUGUAGUAGGUCCCAAGGGUUGGGCUGUUCGCCCAUUAAAGUGGUACGCGAGCUGGGUUCAGAACGUCGUGAGACAGUUCGGUCCCUAUCCGUCGCGGGCGUAGGAAAUUUGAGAGGAUCUGCUCCUAGUACGAGAGGACCAGAGUGGACUUACCGCUGGUGUACCAGUUGUUCUGCCAAGAGCAUCGCUGGGUAGCUAUGUAGGGAAGGGAUAAACGCUGAAAGCAUCUAAGUGUGAAGCCCACCUCAAGAUGAGAUUUCCCAUGAUUUUAUAUCAGUAAGAGCCCUGAGAGAUGAUCAGGUUGAUAGGUUAGAAGUGGAAGUGUGGUGACACAUGUAGCGGACUAAUACUAAUAGCUCGAGGACUUAUCCAA
rnacentral:rRNA from 1 species